AAUUGGAGAGUCCGAUCCUGGCUCAGGAUGAACGCUGGGGGCAUGCUUAACACAUGCAAGUUGAACGUAUUACGCCCGAAGGGUGUCAUGCGUGGCGAACGGGUGAGUAUCACCUAAGAACCAACCCUUUGGAUGAGAAUAACUUUUGGAAACGAAAGCUAAAACUCAAUGAUGGUAGUGUUGACCUAAAUAUUUAAUAAAUGCCAAAGGACGGGCUUGGGGCUGAUUAGUUUGUUGGUAAGGUAAAAGCUUACCAAGACCACAAUCAGUAGCUGGUCUAAGAGGAUGAUCAGCCACACUGGGACUGAGACACGGCCCAGACCUCUACGGAGGGCAGCAGUGAGGAAUUUUCCGCAAUGGGCGAAAGCCUGACGGAGCAAUGCCCCGUGGAGGAAAGAAGGCUCUUGGGUCGUAAACUCCUUUUCUCAGAAAAGAAAAAAAUGACGGUAUUUGAGGAAAAAGCAUCGGCUAACUUCGUGCCAGCAGCCGCGGUAAUACGGGGGAUGCAAGCGUUAUCCGGAAUUAUUGGGCGUUAAGGGUCCGAAGGUGGUUUUUAAAGUCUACUGUGAAAGUUCAAAGCUCAACUUUGAAAAGUCAGUAUGAUACUCAAAAACUUGAGAUAGAUAGAGGUAGAGGGAAUUCUCGGUGGAGUGGUGAAAUGCGUAGAUAUCGAGAAGAACACCGGUGGCGAAAGCGCUCUACUGGGUCUAUACUGACACUCAUGGACGAAAGCUAAGGGAGCCAAUAGGAUUAGAUACCCUAGUAGUCUUAGCUGUAAACGAUGGAGAUUCAGUUUUGGUUUUUUUAUCAGAACUUAAGCUUACGCUUUAAAUCUCCCGCCUGGGGAGUAUGCUCGCAAGAGUGAAACUCAAAGGAAUUGGCGGGGGCCCGCACAAGCGGUGGAGCAUGUGGUUUAAUUCGAUGCAACGCGAAGAACCUUACCAGAAUUUGACAGUUCAUUGGCUUUUUCUUGAAAAAGAAUUAGUCCUUUUUGGAACAAUGGAAACAGGUGGUGCAUGGCUGUCGUCAGCUCGUGUCGUGAGAUGUUGGGUUCAGUCCCGCAACGAGCGCAACCCUUAUCAUUUGUUGAGCCCCCUCUAAAUCUAAACGAGGGGGCUCCUAAUGAAACUGCCAGCCAAAAGCUGGAGGAAGGCGAGGAUGAGGUCAAGUCAGCAUGCCCCUUAUAUUCUGGGCGACACACGUGCUACAAUGGUCGAGACAAAGGGUAGCUUGCUUGUCAAAGUUGGCAAAUCCCAAAAACUCGAUCUCAGUUCGGAUUGUCGGCUGCAACUCGCCGACAUGAAGUCGGAAUCGCUAGUAAUCGCCGGUCAGCCAUACGGCGGUGAAUACGUUCCCGGGCCUUGCACACACCGCCCGUCACUCAGGCAAAGUCGGGUGCACCCAAAAUCAAUGAACUCUUAGCUGAAACGCUUGCGAGAAGUUGCCUAAGGUGAAUCUGGUAAUGCCUGAGAAGUCGUAACAAGGUAACCGUACUGGAAGGUGCGGUUGGAUAACCUCC
rnacentral:rRNA from 1 species